CCUACGGGUGGCAGCAGUGGGGAAUAUUGCACAAUGGGGGGAACCCUGAUGCAGCGACGCCGCGUGAGUGAAGAAGUAUUUCGGUAUGUAAAGCUCUAUCAGCAGGGAAGAAAAUGACGGUACCUGACUAAGAAGCCCCGGCUAACUACGUGCCAGCAGCCGCGGUAAUACGUAGGGGGCAAGCGUUAUCCGGAUUUACUGGGUGUAAAGGGAGCGUAGACGGUUAUGCAAGUCUGAAGUGAAAGCCCAAGUCUCAACCAUGGGACUGCUUUGGAAACUGUAAAACUUGAGUGCAGGAGAGGUAAGCGGAAUUCCUAGUGUAGCGGUGAAAUGCGUAGAUAUUAGGAGGAACACCAGUGGCGAAGGCGGCUUACUGGACUGUAACUGACGUUGAGGCUCGAAGGCGUGGGGAGCAAACAGGAUUAGAUACCCUGGUAGUC
rnacentral:rRNA from 1 species